AUUACCGAAGAUAUUCAAAAUAAACAUUGUAGAACCAGAAGUUGUUGGGAAGAGAAGGAGUCAAGUAAUGCGUGUAUAUUACAAGGUGUAAGAGACAGAGAGGCAGAGAGAGAAGCCGAGGAAAAGGCGAGAUGACAGCAAGACAGAGCUGUCAGAUCAGAGGGUCAAGAUGGCCACGCCGCUUAUCUCAAGACCAGUAUGGCCUUUGUUGUGUUCUUUCAUCAUGGAACAUAACACUAAGGGCAUUACUGGUUACAAUAUACUACUCUCUACCAGCCGGCAAUCAGUGGACCAGAGUUGUGCAGUCACAUCUGAUCCACCCACCACCUAUCAUCUGUUUAUCUUUUUUUUUUUUUACAACCUUGGGAGCUUUUACUAUACCAUAUCUACUUUGGUUUGUCAAAUCAACCACAUCAUAAGAAAAUCUGUAACAUUAAAAAAAAAAAAAACAUGAAAUCUUUUACUGGAAAAAAAAUAAAAAUGAAACCAGUGAA